UACGUAGGGGGCAAGCGUUGUCCGGAAUCAUUGGGCGUAAAGAGCGCGUAGGCGGCCCUGUAAGUCCGCUGUGAAAGUCAAGGGCUCAACCCUUGAAUGCCGGUGGAUACUGCAGGGCUAGAGUCCGGAAGAGGCGAGUGGAAUUCCACGUGUAGCGGUGAAAUGCGUAGAGAUGUGGAGGAACACCUGUGGCGAAGGCGCCUUGCUGGCCGAUUUCUGACGCUGAGGCGCGAAAGCGUGGGGAGCAAACAGG
rnacentral:rRNA from 1 species